rnacentral:rRNA from 1 species
CGCGAAGUAAGUUGAGCUAAUUUAAUACGCUUUGUGGGGAUCUCAAAUGUAGCAUAAUAGGUAUAGAUAUUAAAUUAGGGGUGAAAGGCUUAUCAAAUCUUACGAUAUCUCGAUUCCUUUGAAAUGCAGUAGUGCGAAUACAGCUAAGGAGUGAUUAGGCUUCUUGGGGGUAUAAAAAUACAUUGUUUCUAUUUAUUUUUGGGUUUAACCGCCAAGGAAGAGAAAGUAUAUUAUUACUAUGUGUAAGUUGUAACUAAUAAGGGGAAAGUUUUAGAAUAAUAAAUAAACUCUAUAAUGUUAAUAUAAGUAAUUAAAAGUAACUAUUAAUGAACUCGGCAACAUUUCUUUCACCUGUUUACCAAAAACAUCGCCAUUAGUAGUUAUUGAUGGUAUUUUCUGCUCAAUGAUUUUUAAAUAGCCGCAGUACCCUGACUGUGCAAAGGUAGCGUAAUCAUUUGACUUAUAAUUGAAGUCCUGUAUGAAUGAAAGGAUGGGGGAGAGCUGUAUCAGCAGUUUUAUUGGAAAUUAAUUAACAAGUGAAAAUGCUUGUAAAUAAAUAAUAGACGAGAAGACCCUAGAAAUUUUCACCAUAGGUUGUAAUCAGUUUUUGUUGGGGCAACAUAGUAGCAGUAAACCUACAUCACGUUACACGAACUUUAAGGAAAUUGAUUAAAUUACUCUAGGGAUAACAGCGUAAUAAUAAAUUGUUUGCGACCUCGAUGUUGGACUAGGAAGCGAUUGCUAGAA